UUCAUCCCCCGGAAGUAAAAUGAUUCUAUCGUAAACAAAAAGUGACGGCACAUGUUUACAGAUAUAAUAUCAUUAACGAUUUCUAACAACACCACGAAGCACAUCUUGAAAGGAGAUUUUUAUGGAUUUACUGCAACCACGAUUAAACCAACGACGUGUUUACGAACAAAGGGGAUAACAAUUAAAACAAAUAUGAACAAUUCUGCGGUUACAAAGCAAGAGCAGAGGACUUUUUUACGUGAAAGAUUUCUUCGCCUUCUGUCCCAUUUAUCAGGACAAGAUGCCAAAAUUAAGAUGCAUGAGAGAACAUCAGUGUCUUGUGUUUUAGGACAAGUUGAUAUUGACAUUCACCAUGUUCAAGUCUCCGAUCUAACUACACCAAUGGGAAACAUCCCAAAUGCUGUACUCAGGAUAUCUGAUGUGAUUUCCAUUGAAGUGCCAGAUCUCAAUACAUCCAAUAGAUGAUUAAAAUGAUACUCUUAACAAAAGUUCUUUUCCUGAUAACAGAUUAGGAUGUAAUAAGAUGUUUGGAUGUACUUAAUUGGCACAAUAAUCUUUCACAAAAUAUUAAAAGGAUAUUAAAUGAA